rnacentral:rRNA from 1 species
CACGUAGGAGGCGAGCGUUGUCCGGAAUCAUUGGGCGUAAAGAGCGCGCAGGCGGCUUGGCAAGUCGGGUGUGAAAUCCCGGGGCUCAACCCCGUGACUGCAUCCGAUACUGUCAGGCUAGAGGUAGGUAGGGGAGAUCGGAAUUCCUGGUGUAGCGGUGAAAUGCGCAGAUAUCAGGAGGAACACCGGUGGCGAAGGCGGAUCUCUGGGCCGUAACUGACGCUGAGGAGCGAAAGCGUGGGGAGCGAACAGG